AACUUUUCUUGACCAGCGGUAUCCCAAACAUUAAAGCAAAUUUCACCAAAAUUAGUAUGAAAAUGCAAAGGAUGGACCUCAACACCCUAAAAAUAUGUUAGACUGUUGUUUCUAAACGAAAGAUCUAAGCAUAAAAAGAGUAACUGAAAACCGAUGAUGCACGAGUACAGAUAACUGUAUGUCUCAUAAAAAGAUGGCAUUUAUUUACGAUACUAGGCAUCGUUUCCGGUAUACAAAAACUGUUCUAAUAAAGUAAAAUCAUAAAACGUACCAAAGUUGCAAUAUACUUCUUUUCAAAUUCACCAGUCAAAUGACGCUUGACGAACGUGGUCUUACCGGUACCACCAUCGCCGACAAGUACAAGCUUAAAGGUAGGAACGUUUUGUGGUUGAGCCAUACUAAACUUUUCUCUGUUGCACCUAAACUAACUGAGAGUUUGGUUAAAGGAAAAUUUUAGUGGUGCGUAAUUUUUAUAUGAAUAAAAGACCUGGGUAUAACAAAACCCUAACCCUGAUAGUCGAUUGGAAUUUAACAGAAAAGGGAGUGUAUGGUAUAGUUUUUUAAUGCCGAUUUAACGAAUUGUUUAACGAGUUUGACUAUUGCUCUUAUUGAAGUUGAUCGCCAAAAAAUGGAUAUAGUGUCGUUUUUGAAAUUUCAAAAAAGAAUUGCUUCUACGAAAAGCUACAUUUGUGCGUACUUGCUUAUACAUUCUGGGUUUAUACACAACUUACAAGCAGCCAAUGCUUACUUUUUGGACGUCACUACACGGUUUUGAUUGCAUGUAAAGAUAAAAAACCGCAGCCAAGAAAACGUAUUUGCUAAUCCAAGGAAUGCCAGGAAUGCCCAUACAUAGAAAACAAACAUUCUAAAUUUUCAUUAGCUAUAUUAGUAUCACUAGUAAAAGGCCUACGAAUUCUGCAAUGAUCCAGGUCCGCUACCAGCGUGGACUCAGCUGGAUCGAAAUGAUCGAAAUAAAGAUUAAAAAUAAAACAAACGAAAGUGGUAGGAAGUCGACAAACAAAUGAAAAUUAUCAGUAAAAAAAUGCUGAAUUAAUAGAAUGAUGCAUUUGCUUUUAAAAAUUUAUGCAAUAAAAGAUAAAAGCAAAUAAUUCAACGUUAAAUAAGCCAUAUGUGCAUGAUGAAGAUACUAUAGCUUCCGCUAGUAAAUGUCGGUAAACCAGAAUCGAAAUGAGCGUAUCAAAUAUGCCCGGUUAAUUCUUAAAUUGGUGUCAAAUAUGUCCGCAGUAAAAGCAUCAACGAAUUUAAAAUUCAAACAUAUUAGCUAUGUUUUCAAUUUUGAAGGGAUAUUUAGUUUGAAAAUAGAUUAAGGAAAACCAGAUACUAAGAACAGGGUCUGUUGCGCAGGUUUUAGAAUUGGAAUGUGUUGCACUUUGCUUUUGUGGAUUUUGAGGAGUGUCGGUAUUUAUUUUUGCUUGCUUGAUUUCUUAUUCUUUUGUUUUGCAUUCUUCUUUAAUCCAAUCGAAGAAGUGAGAUUUGCUUCAUUUUCAUCAUCAAUUAAUAGAGAAGGAGGCCUAGUACGAAGUUCUUUAGCUUUGCUAAGUGAAAUGGUAGGCAUUCUCGACGUUGUCAAAACAGGUACCGACAUAUCGCGUUCCACAGUAGCCUUGAGAAAAGCCGAAGACCAACGAUGUAAUUCUUCAUUAUUUUCACAAGUAAAAUAAUGAACCUUUGGUGGAGUGAACAUAACUGCUGCUUUAGCGGCACCUGGAGCAGGUGGAAUUAACUUGAUAGCAGUUUUGCCUCCACUUAGAACAAUGUCAUCGGUUUUCGUAACACGAUGAGAAGUCAUAUCAAUUAGGCCUUUUUCUGAAGCAUCAUUUAAUGAAUGGUAAUAAGAAAGCCUUGUUCCUUUUAAUACAAAGUAUCUAGACUUCCAAACACCGUAACGAUCACUACGUUUC